CCUCAUUUUAUUUUUUUAUUUUUUAUUAUUUUUAUUUUUUUAGGCACAGCAUCUUUCUCCGAACGCCUGUUUGGUGGGCCUUCUUGCUUAGGUGGCGGACCAACUUUGAUUUCGGUCAUUCCUUGGGUCAACCGGUUUGGUGUCCGUAGGUGGCAGCAUCAUUGGUGCUCAAAUGGCGGUCGCAGCCGUGGCGUGGUGGUUCUCUUCGCUCACCUCCGCCGCCGGUGAUGUUGCGGAGCUCGGUAUUAUAAGAGCAGGAGCUUUUAUGAAGUUCAAUCAGUUUUAAAUCCACGUGUACAUUUGUACGACAAAGUUCUAUCGGAGCAAGACGAGCUUGGGACCAAGGAGUACGGGAAGCGAUGAAUCUUUCUGCCCCUUACAGGUCUUAGUAAAUGAAGUAAACAUUGGAUAUGAAGAUGUGGAUAGAUCAUCAGGCAAG